CAACAGUUUAGUAGACCUUUUAGUAGAUAGCUCCCUAAUUAUUUGGUAAUUAGGGGGCUACCUACUAAGCGGGAUGCAGCUUAAAUUCUGAACCAAUAAAAUACACAAAUUUUUACCUAACACAACUGGACAAAUUGUACACAUUCUGUUAGGACAAAAUUCUGUGAAUUUGCCAGAGCCCUGUCUAAAUGACAGGACGUUCAGACGGCCAAUGAAGCAAUGCAAGAACACGAAGGAGGUUGAGUAUUGUGGGAAAAUUUCUUUGACCACAGGUAAUGGAGCAGACUUUGGUCAAAGAAGGUCAAAUAGGAAAAAUACAUGUGACAGUCUUUGUCUUAUGUUUUAAAGAAAACUAGAUCAGAUAGGAAGAAAGGAAGAACAGAUUCUGAGAGAGGGUGAGAAGAGGAAACAAUAGGAGAAAGGCAAGUUCGGCAUGACAGUGCCGCUUUAAUGUUCCCUAUAGAGAUGCAUUGAUCCAAUGCAUCUCUAUUAGGAGAUGCUAAAUGCUUUCUUAUUGGAAAGCAUUGGAUUGGCUGAGAUCUUUAAGUUUGAUCUCAGAUAAGGGGGUGAAGUCAGCAGUGAAGAGACCCACACAGCACUGGAAAAAACUAUAGUGUUAGGAAUACAUGUUUGUAUUCCUAACCCACUAACCUUUUUUGAAACAAAUCAGGAUAAAUGACAAGAGUAACGCAUUUAGCAAUCCACCCUCCAUCCUCUACUUCCCUAAUUCGUUUUUCUCUAUAUUUGUUGUAUACUCUUUAUUCAUUCUAAAUCUUACAGAUAAAUCAGGACAGAAGACUACACCCAGAAGAACCUUAGAGAAUUGUAUUUAUUAUGUAAAGUAUCACUAUUGUCAAACUACUUCAUAUCAUAUGUCAUUGUUUGUAUCUGCUAAUUAAUGCUCGUCUUCCU